UGGGUUGAGGGGAUGGCGUGUUCGUCUGUUAUACCCUGUGAGUAGGGAACGUUUUGUUCGCCUAACAGCGAUCUCUAUUCGCUGGGUAAUACAGUCGAACUCGCGACGACUUCAAGAAUGA
rnacentral:precursor_RNA from 10 species